UACGAAGGGUGCGAGCGUUAUUCGGAAUAACUGGGCGUAAAGGGUGCGUAGACGGUUUAUUAAGUCUGUUGUUAAAGACUUCGGCUCAACCGGGGAACAGCAGCGGAAACUGGUAAACUUGAGGGUGGAAGAGAGAAGUGGAAUUCUCGGAGUAGCGGUAAAAUGCGUAGAUCUCGAGAGGAACACCGAUGGCGAAGGCAGCUUCUUGGUCCAUACCUGACGUUGAGGCACGAAAGCGUGGGUAGCAAACAGG
rnacentral:rRNA from 1 species